rnacentral:rRNA from 1 species
GUCAAAGGCAUAUCACCCUGCAGCCCAAGACCGGUUACUCACUGAAGCUAAGCAGGGCUGGCUGAGCCUGGUUAGUUCCUGGAUGGGAGAAAACUAGGGAACAACAGGUUGCUGUUGGAA